GCAGCACCUGUGACAUCUGGCCUCACUACUGCCUGAGCGCAAAUACUCUGGACAUUAUCUCAAGCGUGGGGGAGGUGUGAAAGGAAGACUGCACCGGUGGAAGUCCAGGAAGAAGCCCUUCUGGUGAAGAGCUGCCCUAGUUCCACAGCCCCCACCUCACCAUUUGGGAUUCCCUCUGCAGCCGGAAGCUGGUACGCGGGGUCCUGCGUGGCCCUCGAGGCCGCCUACAGGAUGGACAAGGGGGACAGGCAGUUUUCCGUGCAGCGAGCAUGCUUGGAAGGAAAGGGCUCUACUGAACACAGACACAUGGUGCCACAUCCGAUGGGCUCCUCAAUACCCACGAGCUCCUAGUCAGUCUUUGCAGAUGCAACUGAGACUGGAAUUUAUGUUAAGGACUCACCGAAGGCCUAGAGUCCAUUCCCUACAAGGUCUGGGGCCCGAUGCUGAGUCUGUCUUGAAAGGAAGCUUUGCCCACCCUUCUCGCUGAGGGCUCAGCUGUACUGCGUUCUCCAGGGCCUGUGGGCAGCAAUGCCCCUCACAGAGUCAGAGCCCAGGAGGCACCUGGAUGCGGGCUUUUCCCCAGAGACCUCAGGGUCAUCAAUCACACAGUUCCUGGCAUUCCUGACACCCGUGUCCAGCCCCUGGAGGGGGACACACGGGGAGGCAGGCUGGUCCUGCCCGAGGCUGGAACACACCACCCUUUGGCCCGUGCCUCAGGGUCAAACGGGGCCUACCUGUUGCUGGAACUCUUCCCUCUGCUUCCGCACCUCCUCCAGGGCUUGAGCCAUUGCGACACUCACAAUUUCUCUUUGGCUCCACUCUUCCUACAAUCCAGAAAAUGGGUGGGACACUGAGUCCCCAAACGCCUCUCACGGGUGUUUCACUGCACGUUAUGUGCCGCCCACUGGGGGAAUGCCAUCCUCCAUCCUACAGAUUUUCUUCCUGCUGCCCGAGGGCCCUGGACUGCCCUCUCGCUGC